CGCUGGCGGCGUGCCUAAUACAUGCAAGUCGAACGGUCUUUCUAUGGAAGCUGCUUCCACUGAGGAGAUAGUGGCGAACGGGUGAGUAACACGUGGGUAACCUGCCCAUAAGAGGGGGAGUAACAUCCGGAAACGGGUGCUAAUACCGCAUAGUUUUCUUGAUUGCAUGAUUGAGAAAGGAAAGACGGCCUUUGUGCUGUCGCUUAUGGAUGGACCCGCGGCGUAUUAGUUAGUUGGUGAGGUAACGGCUCACCAAGACGAUGAUACGUAGCCGACCUGAGAGGGUGAUCGGCCACAUUGGGACUGAGACACGGCCCAAACUCCUACGGGAGGCAGCAGUAGGGAAUCUUCCGCAAUGGACGAAAGUCUGACGGAGCAACGCCGCGUGAGUGAAGAAAGGUUUUCGGAUCGUAAAACUCUGUUGUCAGAGAAGAACAAGUUGGAGAGUAACUGCUCCAGCCUUGACGGUAUCUGACCAGAAAGCCACGGCUAACUACGUGCCAGCAGCCGC
rnacentral:rRNA from 1 species